AUUCACAUUCCUGCGCAUAGCACGGACAAACCACUAAUCUAUAAAUAGGAGAGUUUUUGCUCUUUCUUAAGACUAUCCACCUCAGCAUGUAGGUCCCACUCAGAAAAAAUAAUAUAAUAAAAAACUAACUGAAUAAUGAAAAAUUAAAUUAUUUUGCUGCAAUCAUCGUCUCUUUUACAUUAAACUAUUCAUCUUCCCCAACCUCUCCAUCCCCCUCUCUUUACGAUAAAAAAUUCAAGCGAAUAAUCAUAAAACAAUGGGAUCUCUAUAAAUAAGUGAGAGAUUAGCUUUGAAUCCAACUCUCAUACACACAACUAUCAACCUGUUGCUCACAAUGCAACCUUUUACAAUCUCGGCCUUGGUCGGUCUUCUCACGUGAUUGUUCGUCGUCUCCUCCGUUUAUGAGAUUCAUGAAACAUCAAGAAGAAUGGAGAGUUCAUGGGCAUCACCCUCCUGCUACUAGAUGAAAAGGACGUGUGAGAAAUUUUGUAAGCCGCUGAUGCAGUGGUUGGGACAUGUGAAUGUGUACUCUUAUUGACUCGGUCCUGUCGAUUUGGUAGCAGGGGUUGCAGAACGUCAAUGGAGUUAAUCCCAUUUGUUGAGUGAGAAGAAGGCAAAGAGGCUAGAGGAUGAUUCAGUAAAACAAAUGAUCCCAACUUCUGCCACAUGGUUUGAUGUGUGCGAGUCAGCUAAACAAUGCUCAGUCCCUCCAUUUCAGUGUUCAAUCACGCCAGGCCAGUCUCAAAUUUAAGCAUUGUUUGUGUGUUGCUUUUGGUACUGCUCAGUUUUCAUUUUAUCUUUGUUCUUUGUUGUCUUUUCUUCUCAUUAGUAGAUGUAGAUAAUAUAACCUGUCAAAUUCCUUUGUGACUAUAGAAGUACAAUACUUAUGAGACUAUGAUCUAGAGAGAGGCUAGCGAAUUUUUCGUGUGUGGGCAAUCUAUGGUAGAGCAAUCUGGUAUACCGAGCGCAAGGAAAUAUACUGCCAAAAACACGAGGACAUCUACUCACUGCCGUCUAAUUACCAAAUCAGUAUCCUUCUUCUUAUGCAUAUACAUUAAAAUUAUAUCUAUGUUUGUUUGGUCACUAAUCACUAUAUGUAGGAAUUAGGACUCUUCAUUUCGUGAUCCUUCAUCAAAUUAUAGGGUAUAAAAUAGAAAAAAAAAAGCAGUAGAAGCAUAUACUUUGGAAUACAUGAGGUGUAGUUAGGUGAUUAUAAGAAAGAAAGGAAUACAAGCUAUGUAAUGUAUUUCGUGUUGUUGCUUGAUGGCUUAAUGUGGGUUAAGUAAAAAGAACAAGGAUUUGAAAACACAUAACAAAUGAGGGAAAAUGGAGAAUCAUGCUCCUCCUUCGUCGUUUUUUUUUUCCCUGAUGUAAAAACCAAAUGUUGUAACAUCAAGAAAUGCAGUUUCCAAUCUUAGCAGUCGUAAUAUGCCUAAAUUUAUUUUGAUAAGGACAAGAACAGAGCAAAUGACAACAAAUAAGCUAAUCUACAACACAAACUACAACAAAAGAAACAUUCAAUAAUAGUAGACUCAAAAUCACACAAUAUGUUUGUCCGUGGGGAGUCGGAUUUUCUUUUUUUUUUUACAAAUUAAUCCCACCUCAAAAAAGAAACACUGGUCAACGAGUGGUGAUUUUAAAAGUGUCCUCGCGUAAUUUACCAACGCUACCUACACCUUGCUGCUAAUGCCCCACCUACAAGCAGAGGCGGACCCACGGAGGAAGAUGGGGUGUCACUUGACACCCCUUAAAUCGCUAUAAAUAUUAUUUUGGUUGAGAAAACAAUGAAGAAUUGAUAGUUCUGCUGGUAAAGUACUCCU